UUAGGCCUCAGUUUCCUGGUCUGGGAAACGUACUCCUUGACCUCUGAGGUCCCUUCAGAUCUAAGUUUGAAUUUGCAAACUCCCUCCUGCAGGGGACUGCUUGGGCAGCAGGUGCCCCGGGGCUUGCCAGGGAGCCCUUCCCUGUUGCCACAUAUCAGGAAGAUAUUGUUGACUCUGUUAUCCUCUCCAUGUUGCCUCUGGCACCAGAUGCCAAGUAUUCUUUGCUAAGAGUCUCGCUGUAUAACACGCUGAGAGGCUGCCUCCUGGGUCCAAUCUUCCACUGACCCAUAGAGCCUUUUCAGCGCCCCACCUUCCAUCCUCCAGCCACCUUUUUACGGAGCACUCUCCUGCACUCUCCUGUUCUCGUAAAAGCCUUUUAGGUUUGCAGAGCAUUUUGUCCACAGAACAAAGUGAGGCGGAUAGUGUUGUUGUUACUGUUGCACAGAUGAGGAAGGAGAUUCACCAGCGGCCUCAGGGCCUGGAGACCCCUGACUUGGUGAUGAAAGCCUAGGCUUUUCAUUUUCCCAGAUGAAUGCUUGAUCCCGGCUGCCCUACUGUCUGCAAGGAAGUAAAGCAGGCAAUGAGGGCAUCUGGUGGCUCAACCCGCCUUGACCCCAGCAGGGUUGGGGGAGGGGGAGGAAUGAACAAGAAUUCAGAGCCCCUCCAAGGUAGAUGGUCCCAAUGGCAGGGACACCAGAUCAUCCCCAUCUUGUCUCUUUUUCAUGGCUUUGGGAAUCUCACACAUAGUAGGAACUUUGUAAAUGAUUGAAUAAAAUUUAAAUGUGUAUGAAUGGGUAUGUAUCCAUAUGAAUAGAUUAUCACAUAAAGAUUUUUUUCAUACCCUGAUCUGGGACCUUAUCCUUAUGCCCCCUCGUAAAAGGUAGGACUGGGCACCUUCUAGUUUUCUCUAAGCAGCAGGAGUUGGUUGUUAAUCCAGAGUCCAUUGUGUUUUUGCUUUUUUUUUUUUUUUUAAUUUUUAAUUGAUAGCUGAAUUUCAGGGUAACUAGCUUCCUUUAUAAUGUAGUGGACUUUAUUUAGCAUAUUUAAAAGCAUAUUCCGGAUAUGCUUCAGACUGCCCAGGGUUCAAGACACUUCGUGCUGCAGCCAGAGGGCAGGAUGAUUAGGAGCUGAGUGUAUUCCAGGAGUUGAACCUUGAUUGGCCUGGUUGGGCCCCAUUGCUCGUUGGCACCUGAUCCAGAGACCUGGGAGGAGUUUUGACUUUGGGGAGUGCUGACCUUCUCUUGGCUUGGCAGAGGAAACUGAAGCAGAGAGCUGUCAGGUGACUCAAGAGGUGCACAACUAGGAACUGCUGAAGCCCUAUUUGAGUUCAGAUCUUCCUGACUCCAAACCCAGCACCUUGAUUUUACAGAUGAGUAAACCGAGACUCAGAGAAAAGGGGGCUGUUUCCCUGCUUCCUUCACUAGUCCUGUGUCAUGGCUUCCAGACUUCUCAAGUGGCAAUUGGGAAUAAGUGACUUGCCCGGGGUCACACAGCUGGGAAGUGCUACGUGUCUGAGGCCAGAUUUAAACUCGGGUCCUCCUGACUUUGGGGCUGGUGCUCUCUCCACUGCUCUGCCCCUGAAUAUGCUCUUUUAAAAAAUUUUAUUUUAUUCUGAAUUUAAGAAAUAAAACUAGCAUUCUGUAACACACAA